UACGAAGGGGGCUAGCGUUGCUCGGAAUCACUGGGCGUAAAGGGUGCGUAGGCGGGUCUUUAAGUCAGGGGUGAAAUCCUGGAGCUCAACUCCAGAACUGCCUUUGAUACUGAGGAUCUUGAGUUCGGGAGAGGUGAGUGGAACUGCGAGUGUAGAGGUGAAAUUCGUAGAUAUUCGCAAGAACACCAGUGGCGAAGGCGGCUCACUGGCCCGAUACGGACGCUGAGGCACGAAAGCGUGGGGAGCAAACAGG
rnacentral:rRNA from 1 species